GGGCUCCGAUGGAGCAGAAAUAGCGGGACCUGGACUUGUGGCGCGCCUGGUGCCACAUCUCGGGCUCUGCGAGCGUCCUGGCGCGGGAUCCUGCCGUUUGCAUCCAAGAGAGGGGAGGACAGGGGCAAAAGGAUGCAGGGAGGCUGCUGAUUUCCACUGAAGAGCUAAUUUCCUGUGAGACAUUAACAGUGAUUUAAGAAAAAGAUUCCUGUAACUGUAAUGUCUUACAAUAACAGAAUGCAGGAGAGCACAUAUCAAUGAAGAAAAGACAAAAUGUACUUAUCCAUGAAGCUGAGGUUAAGAAACCAGUGUCUUCAAGAGCCAGGGACAGCACUGGGUCUGUGCAGAGUUGAGAGAUGGUGAUGACAUGUGGUUUCCAGCAUUCUUGGCCCAGUCUGGGAUUCUACUCUUUUGUAGUGACAGAGCUCCUUGCUGCUCAAAUUUUAUGCCAGAUAAAAUAUUCACCUUCUCGGACUCCCUGGCACCAGGCAUGGCCAUGUAAUCCUACAGCACAGCUGAUGAAAGAGAAGACAUCUUGCUGCUAUUUGACAAGCAAGAAGAUAAAAGCUUUCCUAUAAAGAUGAUGGAGCAAAAAAAUAGAAGGGGCCUAGACUCCCUACCUUCACACUUCCUGCUAUAAAAGCAUUGCUAUUAUAAGGUUAAUCUGCAGAAACAGACUUCUAUGUCAUAUGCUUAAAUGCAUCAAAAUUCA
rnacentral:lncRNA from 1 species